AACGAACGCUGGCGGCAUGCCUAACACAUGCAAGUCGAACGAGAUCUUCGGGUCUAGUGGCGCACGGGUGCGUAACGCGUGGGAAUCUGCCCUUUGGUUCGGAAUAACAGUUGGAAACGACUGCUAAUACCGGAUGAUGACGAAAGUCCAAAGAUUUAUCGCCAGAGGAUGAGCCCGCAUAGGAUUAGCUAGUUGGUGUGGUAAAGGCGCACCAAGGCGACGAUCCUUAGCUGGUCUAAGAGGAUGAUCAGCCACACUGGGACUGAGACACGGCCCAGACUCCUACGGGAGGCAGCAGUGGGGAAUAUUGGACAAUGGGCGAAAGCCUGAUCCAGCAAUGCCGCGUGAGUGAUGAAGGCCUUAGGGUUGUAAAGCUCUUUUACCCGGGAUGAUAAUGACAGUACCGGGAGAAUAAGCUCCGGCUAACUCCGUGCCAGCCGCCGCAGUAA
rnacentral:rRNA from 1 species